GUUGACCCAGGGGUGAGAUCUAAAACCUGCAGGACACUGGCACUCGAGGAGUUGCCUGCCCCUGGUCUAGAUUAAUGUUAUUCAUGAGAAUUCAUUCAGGAAAUCCUUGCAGAAUUUGAGUGUAUCUUUGUCCUGUCUUCCUCCCCUGGCAGCGCUGUCUGAGAGCAGAAAAAAGCUCUAAACAGGCAGGAUCGCCGAUGGCAAGGACCCACCCCAUCCAAGAUCUAACCCGUACAACACGUGGCACGUAUUUCAACCACUUCUACAGCCCUUCUGUUUCGAAGGAUUCCAAGGUGGAUCACAUCGAUGCAGUUCCUCCGGUACCAACACCAGAGGCGGUGGGAGUCCUCCAAAUCGCUGGCAACGCAGGGGAGUAUCAGCAGUGAGUUACGGAUAUUAACCUCCUAGGACCUGGCGUCCACAUAUGUGGACAUCACAUUUUGGGUUGUCUAGACCAAAAUACUAAAUUGUGCUCUACAAGGGCCUGAUAUCCACUUACGAGGACAUUAUACAGUCACUGUUCUAUCAAAAUUUGAAAUGAAAGUCCUUAUAUGUAGAUCUCAUAUUUCUCAGAAACAAAAAUCACGUAAAAAAUAAUCUGGUAAUUCUUUGUUUUUACAUUCAUCAGGUUCCAAUCAGCCCAAAUAGCAAAGAGAAAUUAAAAAUGCAUGCCAUGAAAGAGUUCAGGUCUUAGGAGGUUAAGAAGCAUCUGUUGCUUAUACACCAACAGGGAGUGGGUUUUUAAAGAUUGUAGGACACCACUAUGAACACAAUACAUAAACGUUUCAGAACCGAGAGAUGGCACUAUUUUGCACUUUUAAAUAUUCCCCAUUACUUCUGGAAAAGCUAGCUUGUCAUUUUUCAUAUUCCCCCUGCUCAACCUGAUGUUUGUCCAUCUUGAUGUGAUCAGUGACUUGUGGUACAUUUUGACAUUUGAUUUUCACCCAGGUGUUAUCCAUGUACCCAAGCCAAUGCUUUUUUGGUUUUCUAGAAUAGGACAACAGAGCCCUGUUUUCCAUCGAGAAGCUGAACAGGUAUAUCUAAUAAAGUGGCUAUUGAGUUUAUAUCAGGCUAAAACCAGCACUAGUUUACAAACAGUGGACAAACAUUCUGUGUCCCCAAACAAAGACAGGUCCAGCCAAGUGAGUGCGUGAAGUUUACAAACUGUUUUCCUCUUUCACAGUCUUUUACAGCCUCGAUUUCUUUCCUUGUAACUUGUCCCUCCCCUCUCCUCGAGGUUUGGAAGGUGCAAAGAAGAUAUAAGAAACAGGCAGAGGUAACAGGAAUUAAUGCCAUCCUUUUAAUUAUGUCAAAAGAUUAUUGGCACAGCUGCAUUAAAACUAUUGCAUUGUUUCUCUGCAUUUCAUGUUCUUUGGCAUAACUGAACUGAUGAUAUGCUUUAUUUUAAGGGCAACUUUUAAUUAAAUUCUCACUGUAGUACGUGACAAGAGAUUAUGUUUUUGAUCAUUUCUCUCACACACAAAAUGAAGGACAAAGUUUAAAGGCAGUUGAUCAUCUUAACAACCAAAACAACUUAUAGAUAUGACAAAGUAGCUGUUUGCAUAGUUCUCCUGAAUUCAAGCUGUAAGACUAUUUUAUAUAUUUAAAGUUAUUCUGCAAAGGAUACGCCCUGUGCAUCCUCGCUUCCUCCUCUGUCCACAUGAUGCUUGUAGGUAUUGAGGCACCAUUCAACAUGUUACACAGAAAUUCAUUUCCAGGUCAGAAAGAAGGCAAGACAGAUGAUGAGGUGCAAACCACAAGAAACUAAAAAAAA